rnacentral:rRNA from 1 species
AUUGAACGCUGGCGGCAUGCCUUACACAUGCAAGUCGAACGGCAGCGGACCUUCGGGUGCCGGCGAGUGGCGAACGGGUGAGUAAUAUAUCGGAACGUACCUUUCAGUGGGGGAUAACGUAGCGAAAGUUACGCUAAUACCGCAUAUUCUGUGAGCAGGAAAGCAGGGGAUCGCAAGACCUUGCGCUGAUUGAGCGGCCGAUAUCAGAUUAGCUAGUUGGUGAGGUAAAGGCUCACCAAGGCGACGAUCUGUAGCGGGUCUGAGAGGAUGAUCCGCCACACUGGAACUGAGACACGGUCCAGACUCCUACGGGAGGCAGCAGUGGGGAAUUUUGGACAAUGGGCGCAAGCCUGAUCCAGCCAUGCCGCGUGAGUGAAGAA